rnacentral:rRNA from 1 species
UACAGAGGUCUCGAGCGUUGUUCGGAUUCAUUGGGCGUAAAGCGUCCGCAGGUGGCAGUUCAAGUCUGCUGUCAAAGACCGGGGCUUAACUUCGGAAAGGCAGUGGAAACUGAACAGCUAGAGUAUGGUAGGGGCAGAGGGAAUUCCUGGUGUAGCGGUGAAAUGCGUAGAGAUCAGGAAGAACAUCGGUGGCGAAGGCGCUCUGCUGGACCAUAACUGACACUCAGGGACGAAAGCUAGGGGAGCGAAUGGG